AGAGUUUGAUCCUGGCUCAGAUUGAACGCUGGCGGUAGGCUUAACACAUGCAAGUCGAGCGAGAAAGUAUCUUCGGAUAUGAGUAGAGCGGCGGACGGGUGAGUAACGCGUAGGAAUCUACCUAGUAGAAGGGGAUAGCCCGGGGAAACUCGGAUUAAUACCGUAUACCUCCUAAGGGAGAAAGAGGGCCUCUCUUGAUGCUCUCGCUAUUAGAUGAGCCUGCGUAAGAUUAGCUUGUUGGUAAGGUAAUGGCUUACCAAGGCUACGAUCUUUAGCUGGUCUGAGAGGACGAUCAGCCACAUUGGGACUGAGACACGGCCCAGACUCCUACGGGAGGCAGCAGUGGGGAAUAUUGGACAAUGGGCGCAAGCCUGAUCCAGCCAUACCGCGUGUGUGAAGAAGGCCUUCGGGUUGUAAAGCACUUUAAGCAGGGAGAAAAAGUUAUAAGUUAAUACCUUAUAACCGUGAUGUUACCUGCAGAAUAAGCCCCAGUUAAUGCCGUGCCCCCCGCCACUACAAUACGGGAGGUGCUUGCUCUAAUCUACUGUACUGGGCGCACACCGCGCGGGUGUGGUUUGUUAGAUGGGAUGUCAAAGCCCUGGGCUCAACCACUGCAUCGCAUACUAACUCAACUCACUACAAUACAAUGAAGUGAGAUUCAAUUCGUAGCGUAGCGAUGCAUAGCUUAUAUAUAAUAUACAAUAGCAGAGGGCAACGUCGCGUCUUGGAUCUGAACUGACGCUGAGGAGCCAAGGCGAGCGUACCGGACUAGAUUACAUGCCGACGAGACAUUGUCUUGGCGUGGCUCACCUUAUAAUUUGUCUCUCGCCUGU
rnacentral:rRNA from 1 species